AUUGAACGCUGGCGGCAGGCCUAACACAUGCAAGUCGAACGAGUGGCGGACGGGUGAGUAAUGUCUGGGAAACUGCCCGAUGGAGGGGGAUAACUACUGGAAACGGUAGCUAAUACCGCAUACCAUCGGAUGUGCCCAGAUGGGAUUAGCUAGUAGGUGGGGUAAUGGCUCACCUAGGCGACGAUCCCUAGCUGGUCUGAGAGGAUGACCAGCCAAACUGGAACUGAGAAACGGUCCAGACUCCUACGGGAGGCAGAAGUGGGGAAUAGUGAACAAUGGGCGCAAGCCUGAUGCAGCCAGGCCGCGUGUAUGAAGAAGGCCUUCGGGUUGUAAAGUACUUGCAGCGGGGAGGCGUUACACGCAGAAGAAGCACCGGCUAACGCCGUGCCAGCCGCCGCGGUAAUGC
rnacentral:rRNA from 1 species